GACGAACGCUGGCGGCGUGCCUAAUACAUGCAAGUAGAACGCUGAAGGAGGAGCUUGCUUCUCUGGAUGAGUUGCGAACGGGUGAGUAACGCGUAGGUAACCUGCCUGGUAGCGGGGGAUAAUUAUUGGAAACGAUAGCUAAUACCGCAUAAGAGUAGAUGUUGCAUGACAUUUACUUAAAAGGUGCAAUUGCAUCACUACCAGAUGGACCUGCGUUGUAUUAGCUAGUUGGUGAGGUAACGGCUCACCAAGGCAACGAUACAUAGCCGACCUGAGAGGGUGAUCGGCCGCACUGGGACUGGGACACGGCCCAGACUCCUACGGGAGGCAGCAGUAGGGAAUCUUCGGCAAUGGACGGAAGUCUGACCGAGCAACGCCGCGUGAGUGAAGAAGGGUUUCGGAUCGUAAAGCUCUGUUGUAAGAGAAGAACGAGUGUGAGAGUGGAAAGUUCACACUGUGACGGUAUCUUACCAGAAAGCGACGGCUAACUACGUG
rnacentral:rRNA from 1 species